GAUGAACGCUGGCGGCGUGCCUAAUACAUGCAAGUCGAGCGAACGGACGAGAAGCUUGCUUCUCUGAUGUUAGCGGCGGACGGGUGAGUAACACGUGGAUAACCUACCUAUAAGACUGGGAUAACUUCGGGAAACCGGAGCUAAUACCGGAUAAUAUUUUGAACCGCAUGGUUCAAAAGUGAAAGACGGUCUUGCUGUCACUUAUAGAUGGAUCCGCGCUGCAUUAGCCAGUUGGUAAGGUAACGGCUUACCAAGGCAACGAUGCAUAGCCGACCUGAGAGGGUAAUCGGCCACACUGGAACUGAGACACGGUCCAGACUCCUACGGGAGGCAGCAGUAGGGAAUCUUCCGCAAUGGGCGAAAGCCUGACGGAGCAACGCCGCGUGAGUGAUGAAGGUCUUCGGAUCGUAAAACUCUGUUAUUAGGGAAGAACAUAUGUGUAAGUAACUGUGCACAUCUUGACGGUACCUAAUCAGAAAGCCACGGCUAACUACGUG
rnacentral:rRNA from 1 species